CCUACGGGUGGCAGCAGUAGGGAAUCUUCCACAAUGGGCGAAAGCCUGAUGGAGCAACGCCGCGUGGGUGAAGAAGGUCUUCGGAUCGUAAAACCCUGUUGUUAGAGAAGAAAGUGCGUGAGAGUAACUGUUCACGUUUCGACGGUAUCUAACCAGAAAGCCACGGCUAACUACGUGCCAGCAGCCGCGGUAAUACGUAGGUGGCAAGCGUUAUCCGGAUUUAUUGGGCGUAAAGGGAACGCAGGCGGUCAUUUAGGUCUGAUGUGAAAGCCUUCGGCUCAACCGGGGUAGUGAAUUGGAAACUGGCAGAGUAGAGCACGGAAGAGGAAAGAGGAAGG
rnacentral:rRNA from 1 species